CAGAUUCCAACAGCUCUGGGGACAACGCUGCUGUGGCAGAUGCUUCAGUUUCCUAGUCAUCUUUGGAGAAGUGAUGCUUGAACAUUAACCACUUGGACCCACCGCCUACCUUCCAGAGCUCCAACCCAUGGGAUUCCUCCAAGAUCCUGAACUCCACCAUCACACGGUCACUGCAGCCAAGGCUAUCCCCAACCUUCACAUCCCAAACCAGUCCUUCUUUGUUUAUUAGUACAAGGACCAGCAGCACACCU